rnacentral:rRNA from 1 species
UACGAAGGGGGCUAGCGUUGUUCGGAAUCACUGGGCGUAAAGGGCGCGUAGGCGGCGGUCACAGUCAGAUGUGAAAUUCCUGGGCUUAACCUGGGGGCUGCAUUUGAUACGUGGUUGCUUGAGUGGGGAAGAGGGUCGUGGAAUUCCCAGUGUAGAGGUGAAAUUCGUAGAUAUUGGGAAGAACACCGGUGGCGAAGGCGGCGACCUGGUCCUUGACUGACGCUGAGGCGCGAAAGCGUGGGGGAGCAAACAGG